rnacentral:rRNA from 1 species
UACGUAGGGUGCGAGCGUUGUCCGGAAUUAUUGGGCGUAAAGAGCUCGUAGGCGGCUUGUCGCAUCGGAUGUGAAAGCCCGGGGCUUAACUCCGGGUCUGCAUUCGAUACGGGCAGGCUAGAGUUCGGUAGGGGAGAUCGGAAUUCCUGGUGUAGCGGUGAAAUGCGCAGAUAUCAGGAGGAACACCGGUGGCGAAGGCGGAUCUCUGGGCCGAUACUGACGCUGAGGAGCGAAAGCGUGGGGAGCGAACAGG